rnacentral:rRNA from 1 species
AUGGUGAACUUGGUGGAGGCCCAGAAGCCGCUGCUGCACUUCCUGAUCAGAAGGGCCGGGCUCCGGCAGCACACGGUGGACGUGGACGGCGCCGGCACGGCGCUCACCUUCUGGGUGCCCAAGGACAAGCUCCCCAAGGACAAGUCCACCGUGUGCGAGAUCACGCCCGAAGCGGCGGCGCCGGCCUCCAAGAAGAAGAGCAAGACGAAAGCCAAGGCCCCGCGGCCAUCCGUCGUCCUCGUGCACGGCUUCGCGGCCGAAGGCAUUGUCACGUGGCAGUUCCAGGCUGGUGUGCUGGCGAAGCACUACGACGUGUACAUCCCGGACCUGCUCUACUUCGGCGGCUCCACGUCGCCGUCGACGGACCGGUCGCCGGGGUUCCAGGCGGAGUGCCUGGUGGCAGCGCUGGGCAAGCUGGGCGUGGAGAAGUGCACGGUGGUGGGGUUCAGCUACGGCGGGAUGGUGGCCUUCAAGAUGGCCGAGUCGCACCCGGGCCUCGUCCGGUCGCUCGUGGUGUCGGGCUCCGUCGUCGCCAUGACCGACUCCAUCAGCGAGACCACGCUGGAGAGGAUCGGCGUCAAGUCGUCGGCGGAGCUGCUGCUGCCGGACUCCGUCAAGGGGCUCAAGGCGCUGCUCUCCAUCGUCGCCCACAGGAAACUCUGGUUCCCGGAACGCCUUCACAGGGACUACCUCCAGGUGAUGUUCACCAACCGCAAGGAAAGAGCAGAGCUGCUGGAAGGUUUGGUGGUCAGCAACAAAGACGCCACCGUGCCCGUUUUGCCACAGAAAAUACUUCUGCUCUGGGGACACAACGACAACAUUUUCAACAUAGAGCUCGCCAGGACAAUGAAAGAGCAGCUCGGUGAGGAGACGAUGCUGCAGAGCAUAGACAAGGCCGGGCAUCUCGUGCACCUGGAGAGGCCCUGCGUCUACAACCGCCGCCUCUUGGAGUUCCUGGCAUACGUCACUGCUGAAGCUUCCAAAGAGUGA